CCUACGGGAGGCAGCAGUGGGGGAUAUUGCACAAUGGGGGGAACCCUGAUGCAGCGACGCCGCGUGAGCGAUGGAGUACUUCGGUAUGUAAAGCUCUGUCAGCAGGGAAGAAAAUGACGGUACCUGACCAAGAAGCCCCGGCUAAAUACGUGCCAGCAGCCGCGGUAAUACGUAUGGGGCAAGCGUUAUCCGGAUUUACUGGGUGUAAAGGGAGCGUAGGCGGCAGGGCAAGCCUGAUGUGAAAGCCCGGGGCUCAACCCCCGAACUGCAUUUGAAACUGUUGGUCUUGAGUAUCGGAGAGGCAGGCGGAAUUCCUAGUGUAGCGGUGAAAUGCGUAGAUAUUAGGAGGAACACCAGUGGCGAAGGCGGCCUGCUGGACGACAACUGACGGUGAGGCGCGAAAGCGUGGGGAGCAAACAGGAUUAGAUACCCGGGUAGUC
rnacentral:rRNA from 1 species